CUCCACAUCCGACUUUUCAUCCUCCUCUUCCUCCGCCUCCACAAUCAGCCUCCAUAGCAACCUCUCCCUCCAAACUCACCCUUCCCUCCCUUCCCUCCAACAAUCUCCCGCCAAUUCCUCCGCCUCUUCCUCCUCCGUCGUCACUGCCCUCCUCUGCUCCUCCAACACUCUCCGAACCUCCCACCCAAUCACCAGCCUCUCCCUUCGCGGCAACCUCCUCUACGCCGCCUCCGGCCACCAAAUCACCGUCUACGACAGCUCCACCGGCACUAUCCUAGAAUCGUUCGACACCGGGUCCGGAUCCGGAUCAGUGAAGGCCGUCCUCUUCUCCUCCGACGGAAGACUCUUCUCGGGUCACCAGGACUCCCAGAUC
rnacentral:lncRNA from 1 species